GCAUCAGCUGCCGAGCUGAAAUAGCCAUCUUUUUAAAACCAGCCCAGGACAGAGAGGAGGAAUGACGGGGAUGGUUACCUACAAAAUCAGAGGUCAAAACAUUUUGCUAGUCUGCAUCUCUGCGUUUCCUUCAACUUAAGUGUGGCAGAUGGAAAGUUCCUCGGGUCAGCCCUGAGCAGUGAGGCUGAGUGCGGUGCCAGAAGUCACUUGUACAAUGGCAAUGCACUGACUCUUAAGACCACAGCCUAUCCAGGACUGAGGUGUUAACAAGUACACCCUAUACUAUGUGGACCCAAAGACCAGAGCAGCCAAGCUGAUACUGUGACUGUACCCAUUUCUAAAGAGACCCAGAUCCAAUAGGCCCAGCUGGAUCCUGGCCCACAAAUCUGAGAUAACUGUGUGCUGUCUGGGCCAUGAAGUCCUGUGGGAAUUUAUUAUGCAGCCGAAGAUAACUAACCGGAAUGGUACUUUUCACUCUUCACCCCUUUUUGUGAACAGAAAAUGCUAUGAGAUAAUCCUUCUGUAUGCUGUGAGUAUGUAUUAUUCUCAUUAGUUAGUAAUAAGGCUGAUUGACCUAUAGCAAGGCAGGAUAAAGUUAGGUGGGACAAUCAAACUGAGGACUCAGAUGAAGAAAGGUGGAGUUGGGAGAGAUCUGAUCGAGCCACCCAAGAAGCAAGAUGCCAGAGGACCAGUAAAGCCACAGGCCACCUGGCAAUACAUAGAUUAAUAGAAAUGGGUUAAUUUAAAAGUAAAAGCUAGUUAGUAAUAAGUCUGAGCUAUUGACUGAGUGUUUUGUAAUUAAUAUAAGCUUUUGUGUGUUUAUUUGGGACUGGGAGGUCAGAACAGAGAAACUCCACCUCCAUUUACAAGAAAAAUUUUAUGAAACAAGAGAGAAACAAGCAGAAGGAGCAAACUGGGAACAGCCUGAAUGUGACAUGUGACAGAAUGCAUAGCAUUUUCCAUUGACUUAAGACAACAUGUGUGUGGAUACAGUGGAAGGUACAUGUCAGUAUGCAUGCGUGAGCAUCGUCACAAGUGAGCAUCAUCACAAAGACCUGCAGGCUAAUCAAAGAAGAGGCUCAGAUCCUGGGAAAGGGUCAGGCCCAACAAAGCUGAAACAAAG